UACGAAGGGGGCUAGCGUUGCUCGGAAUUACUGGGCGUAAAGGGCGCGUAGGCGGAUAUUUAAGUUGGGGGUGAAAGCCCGGGGCUCAACCUCGGAAUUGCCUUCAAUACUGGAUAUCUUGAGUUCGGGAGAGGUGAGUGGAAUGCCGAGUGUAGAGGUGAAAUUCGUAGAUAUUCGGCGGAACACCAGUGGCGAAGGCGACUCACUGGCCCGAUACUGACGCUAAGGCGCGAAAGCGUGGGGAGCGAACAGG
rnacentral:rRNA from 1 species